GUGCCUAAUACAUGCAAGUAGAACGCUGAAGAGAGGAGCUUGCUCUUCUUGGAUGAGUUGCGAACGGGUGAGUAACGCGUAGGUAACCUGCCUGGUAGCGGGGGAUAACUAUUGGAAACGAUAGCUAAUACCGCAUGAAAUUAAUUGUCGCAUGAUAAUUAAUUGAAAGAUGCAAUUGCAUCACUACCAGAUGGACCUGCGUUGUAUUAGCUAGUUGGUGAGGUAACGGCUCACCAAGGCGACGAUACAUAGCCGACCUGAGAGGGUGAUCGGCCACACUGGGACUGAGACACGGCCCAGACUCCUACGGGAGGCAGCAGUAGGGAAUCUUCGGCAAUGGGGGGAACCCUGACCGAGCAACGCC
rnacentral:rRNA from 1 species